rnacentral:rRNA from 1 species
AUUGAACGCUGGCGGCAGGCUUAACACAUGCAAGUCGAGCGGAGUGAUGGUGCUUGCACUAUCACUUAGCGGCGGACGGGUGAGUAAUGCUUAGGAAUCUGCCUAUUAGUGGGGGACAACAUCUCGAAAGGGAUGCUAAUACCGCAUACGUCCUACGGGAGAAAGCAGGGGAUCACUUGUGACCUUGCGCUAAUAGAUGAGCCUAAGUCGGAUUAGCUAGUUGGUGGGGUAAAGGCCUACCAAGGCGACGGUCUGUAGCGGGUCUGAGAGGAUGAUCCGCCACAAGGGGACUGAGACACGGCCCAGACUCCUACGGGAGGCAGCAGUGGGGAAUAUUGGACAAUGGGGGGAACCCUGAUCCAGCCAUGCCGCGUGUGUGAAGAAGGCCUUAUGGUUGUAAAGCACUUUAAGCGAGGAGGAGGCUCUUUUGGUUAAUACCCAAGAUGAGUGGACGUUACUCGCAGAAUAAGCACCGGCUAACUCUGUGCCAGCCGCCGCCGUUAA